rnacentral:rRNA from 1 species
UACGAACUGUGCAAACGUUAUUCGGAAUCACUGGGCUUAAAGGGUGUGUAGGCGGUUCUUUAAGUUUGGUGUGAAAUCUCCCGGCUCAACCGGGAGGGUGCGCCGAAAACUGGGGGACUAGAGUGCGGGAUGGGAGAGUUGAAUUCCUGGUGUAGCGGUGAAAGGCGUAGAUAUCAGGAGGAAUCCCGGUGGUGUAGACGGCUCUCUGGACCGCCACUGACGCUGAGACACGAAAGCGUGGGUAGCAAACAGG